CCCCAUGGAAAUGGGUAAAGAACACCUUGGUGGUGGUGUUUUUCUAUCAGUCAGUGGCAGAGUAGCUGGCAGUCCUUUGCUUUUCCUAGCUUGAUGCCUGACUUUGUGGCCAAGGCUGUUUUAUGCCUAUGACACAUAA